CCAAUAGCGUAUAUUAAAGUUGUUGCAGUUAAAAAGCUCGUAGUUGAAUUUUGGAUUCUUCCAAUUGGUCCAUCUUUUAGAUGAGUACUGGUUGUGUGGGGUCUAUCCGCCUGGUGAUACGUAAUGUCCUUUAUUGGAUGUUGCGGGUAGUCAGGACCUUUACCUUGAAAAAAUUAGAGUGUUUAAAGCAGGCUUAUGCCGGAAUACAUUAGCAUGGAAUAAUAGAAUAGGACGAAGUUGUUUUAUUUUGUUGGUUUCUAGGACAACCGUAAUGAUUAAUAGGGAUAGUUGGGGGCAUUAGUAUUCAGUUGUCAGAGGUGAAAUUCUUGGAUUUAUUGAAGACUAACUACUGCGAAAGCAUUUGCCAAGGAUGUUUUCAUUAAUCAAGAACGAAAGUUAGGGGAUCGAAGACGAUCAGAUACCGUCGUAGUCUUAACCAUAAACUAUGCCGACUAGGGAUCGGGCGAUGUUGUUUCCAUGACUCGCUCGGCACCUUAUG
rnacentral:rRNA from 1 species